UACAGAGGGUGCGAGCGUUAAUCGGAAUUACUGGGCGUAAAGCGUGCGUAGACGGUAGCGUAAGUCAGAUGUGAAAGCCCCGGGCUCAACCUGGGAAUUGCAUUUGAGACUGCUCUGCUUGGGUGCGGAAGAGGGAAGCGGAAUUUCCGGUGUAGCGGUGAAAUGCGUAGAUAUCGGAAGGAACACCAGUGGCGAAAGCGGCUUCCUGGUCCGACACCGACGUUCAGGCACGAAAGCGUGGGGAGCGAACAGG
rnacentral:rRNA from 1 species